rnacentral:rRNA from 1 species
AGCUCCAAUAGCGUAUAUUAAAGUUGUUGCAGUUAAAAAGCUCGUAGUCGAAACUAUACGCUUGCGACGCAGUCUCUUAUCAUUAGAGCGCAACGCGGGCGCGGGCUGCAAAGCCUCUGUUACUUUGAGAAAAUUUGAGUGUUUCAAGCGGGCCAGAGCUGAAAUAGUGUACCAUGGAAUAACAUAGUGGCUGUCCCACUCUUUCAUUCGGUUUUGAUGGGAUAGUACGUGGUUGAUAGGAGCGGUCGGGGCACUUCGUAUUGAACAGUCAGAGGUGAAAUUCUUAGAUUUGUUCAAGACGAACUGAUGCGAAAGCGUUGUGCUGGCACGUUUUCU